UGCUCUCGGUCUCGCUCUCGCUCUUUCUCUCUCUCUAGUUUCAAACUCUCUCAUCUUCACUGACAGACAGUGACGCACUCUGUCCCAGUCACCGGUGUCCCGUCUGACCAAAUCUGUUGCUGUGGUUCAGACGCCGUUCUCUUCUAAAUUCUUAGCCUCUCCGUUCAUCGUCUUCUUGAUUCUUCCUCUCACCGUAUCGUCUGCUUGAUUCUUUUUGACUAUCUGGAGGACUCACCACAAGUUAACAGGAAUCAGAACUCAAAGAAGAUUGUGGAUCUUGUUGUGCCAUGGCGGCUACCAGAGCUAUGGAAGUUCGUUAUCACAUAAAAGACAAUUCAAACGAGCGGAUAUGGUUUUUCCUUCAAGAUUUGCUAGAUAAUCUUCUCAAUUCAGAAGAACUCGCAGAAAAGGAUUGUGACUUGUGCGGUGAAUAUACAGAAUUUAUGCACAAAGUCUUGACCUGGAUUCAAGAAAAGAACGUAAUCUUAAUAGACACUUGUCGCAGCUCGGCAGAUCAAGAAUUAAUCUAUCACGGUACUGAUCUCUAUUUAAGAGUUUACCGCUGGUCAAUGGGUUGUUGCAUGCACAAAGCGGAAUUUGAACCCCAACACUUGCUUAAGUGGACUAUGAAUCAAUCAACCAUUGUUGCUUGGUCUAUCAAUCCUCGUGGGAUCGACCUUCACGCACUUGAGGUAUUACUUGGUACAACCCGGUGCACUUGCCGGUUCAAUUGUGGACAUUCUAAUUCUGCACAAUCUGGCAACAUAACCGAUGUGUGAGCUCAUGGCCAGUAGGACAAGCAUGCAUCAUCUGUAUUUGUGUGUAUUGGUUGGGUGCGCAUCUUGUAUUUGGCUUGCCUUGUUGAAUAAUUGUAUCUAUAUGCUAAUUGAGCUACCUACUUUAUCUGUUCUCUCUAUUUGUAUAUUUCUUGUAUUAUUUUGUAUGUGUUUGAACAGUUGAGAGAUCCCUUAUACUGGCAAUGUUGAUGCUGAGGGCUGUAUUUGAUGAAAUGUUAAUGAUGGAAUGAUUGGGUGAUGGAAAUGAGUAUUGA